UACGAAGGGGGCUAGCGUUGUUCGGAAUUACUGGGCGUAAAGCGUGCGCAGGCGGCUUCUCAAGUCAGGGGUGAAAGCCCAGAGCUCAACUCUGGAAUUGCCUUUGAGACUGAGUGGCUUGAGUUCGGAAGAGGUGAGUGGAAUUGCGAGUGUAGAGGUGAAAUUCGUAGAUAUUCGCAGGAACACCAGUGGCGAAGGCGGCUCACUGGUCCGAUACUGACGCUGAGGUGCGAAAGCGUGGGGAGCAAACAGG
rnacentral:rRNA from 1 species